UCCAGCCAGGCCAAACAUCUCCAACCUCACUUCUUUUGAGUUUUACAACCAUUACCAAGGCUUGGGUGCGACAAAGUUCCUUAAGGGUUCGUUUGAACCCCUGGCCAAUACCAAGCAUCCGAAGUAUCAUUAUUAGACAAGUGCAAAUGUGGAAGUGUCAUCCUUGUGCAUCAAAGUUCAAUGGGCGCUCAAGGGCUCUUAAGGCAAUGCUUACACUAAGGGGCAGAACCUAGUGUUCUAAGAGUAGUGAGGUUGUGAUAGGAAUGAGAGAGUUUAAAACAGAAUUUAAGAAAACAGGAGAAAGAUUUGAGAGACAGUUCGAGAAAAAUAGUUUAAGAGAGUUGAAAGGAGUUCUUUUAAAAUCAUUGGUACUAACCAGUUUAAAACAGAGCAUCAUACAAACAUGGGAAAAUGGGAAGGGAACAGAUAAGUACAGGGACCUACUCACACACAGACAAACAUCGUGAAGGCAGGUAAUCAGACACAGUUGUAGAACAAUAGGGAUUCAGUUUUUACUGCACCAAACCCUAAUACACUUAACCUUAGGAAGAGGUUUUAGGCUAAUCAAGUAGCCAAGUAACCCUGGACACAUGGUAGUAAUGAACAAGGAAAAGUAAACAUUCACUGAGACAGGGAAGGGGUAAGGGGAACAUGCUCAUCUAAGCUAAGUAGGCUAGUAAGUGCAUACUAGUGACAAUAAGAAUAGCAAAACCUCAGAUAAAAGCACACAAGGAACAAGAUGAAGUGCAGGAUUAACAGAAGCAUAUUGUUUUGGGGGCUGUAUACUAAAUAGAUAACAUACCAAUUUUGCAGACAAACAGAACAAAAAGAGCAAUGAGCAAGAGUGCACAGAUAGAGCAAAGUGAGCAGAGAGUGUGAGCAGCAGAGAGAAUAGCAGUGUGCAACACAUUGUGAGAAUGGCAGUGUGCAACAAAGAGAGCAGCAGGCAAACCCAAGUAAGCAAUGCAAUAGAAUCCAGUAGAAGUAAACAGCCCAAGUUUACUCAAUCUUGGCUUUUCAGCCGAUUGAGUGUUCUAAUAAAACAAUGAGAGAGUAUAGAAAUAGCAGAGAAAGAGAGAAUUCAGAGAGUUUUUAAAUUUUGAGAGAUAUGCAGUAUAUGUUGGUUGUUUUUUUUAAAAGAGAAUGGGGAGGAGCAUUUAUAGUACUGGAAAUCGAGUACAUAAAAAAGUAGCCAUCUUUAACUAAGAGACUAGUAUCAAUCAAGAAUCCAAUUAGUAUCAGGACACCCCUUUAACUAAGGAGUCAAAGACAAACGUUAACAAGCAUUGAUUUCAAAAGGAAAGCAAUCAAUUAACUACAUUUACCCUAGUAAGAGUAGCAAGCAUGUAAUAUACAAUAAGGGUCAGAUACAUAGUAGAUUAAGUUAGGGAAAAUAUACUGAAGGUUGUUCAUGCACAAAUAUGGUAAGGAAAAUAUAAGCUAGUUUUACCAAUUGGUCGAAGAAUCUCGGGCAAGACCUAAAAAUCAGAGAGAAUUGUUUCUAAGUAAGGAAAUCAUGCCCAAAUAAAGAAAUAAUUCAAAGAAAAUCAGUAAGAAAAUCUAAGGAAAAUUAUAUACAAAUCAGAGAUUCGCAUGGACAUUCAAAAUCAGCACAAUACUGCACAAAUAAUGAACACUUAGGCCUAUAAAGAAUAAUAGACAUGGAACUCUGAGAACCUUAAGCAGGUAAACAAAGGGUCGAAACCCUAGCCAGAAAACUAAAGCAUGGAACUAAAAUUAACAAGGAAACCAAAUGCUCGUAACACGAAAAAAUACAAACAAACACAUAAUACUCCAGAAAAGUAGAAGAAGUGAUUUUGACAAAAGGGUCAGAAACCCUAACUUUAAAAAAGUGGAGAAACUUAAGAUAAUCAGAGAUUGAGUGAAAAUUAGAGUAGAAAACAAAGAAUCAAACUGAAAAUUAUUUUAAAAGAGCAAAACUUAAAGAGAUUUUGAGUAGAAAAAUUAGGGUUUGCAGACGAGUUAAAGAAAGGCGGAACCUGGACGUGAAACUCAUCACUAACACAAUAUAAAAAAUGAUCGUGUGAAAACAACGGGGAGAGGCCGGCAAAGACUCAGGAACGCUUUAAUCGACCGUCUUCUAUGGCGGAAGCUUCUGGGCUUCGAGUUUGAAAGAGAAACAACGAGAUACAGUACCAUGGUGAGUGGUGGUCGAGAGGAGUGAAGGUGGAGGUGGCCGGAACGACAGUGGAAGCCAUCGGAGAAGAGAGAGGAUCGGAGGUUCUAGAGAGAACUUCAGAGACAAGGGUUUAGAGAGAGAGUGAGAGAUGGGAGUUAC
rnacentral:lncRNA from 1 species